GCCUCCUGUGUUGUUGUUGCUGUCCCUUCGGAGAUCAUGUCAGCAGUUGAAGGGGCUCAACAACAAGAGCCUAGUCUUAGUAAUGUCCCUGCUAACUUUGUGUUCUGUCUGUCCAGGAGUUCAUCCGCCGCUAUUGCCGGACCUGGAGAAAGUCGGAUGGAGAGUGUAGCUGUUGUCUAAGGAUCUUCCUCUCAGUUGAGUCCCACACAUUGGCUCCCAAAUUUGUGGGCCCACUCAAAAUCAUCAACCCUUCUAUGGUGCGUCUGCAAUUUCCCUGUUCUCUUCGGAUCCACCCCACCUAUCAUGUGUCCAGGAUCAAGCCAGCUGCCACCAGCCCCUUUUCUCCUGCUACUCAUCCUCCACCACCUCUUUGUCUGGUUGGUGGUUCUGAUGAGGCAUUUGCUGGACCUUCAGUACCUGGUGGACUGGGAGGGGUACGGUCUGGAGGAAUGCUGCUGGGUCCCUGUUAGGCAUAUAUUGGAUCCUGCCCUGAUUGCUGACUUCUGACAUCUGCGUCAUCCUGAGGGACCCAGGAGUGAUGUCUUCAAGGAUCCAACACAGCUCCCUACCUGCCUCCCUGGCUGAGAGCUGACUCUGUGCAGCUGCCUACAAUCAGCACUCACCCAGCCUUGCUCAAUCAGCUCGUCAGCAUAUGGGAGUAUAUCAGACCCGGGCUGUGGUCAAAUAGUCAAAAAAAAAAGACGUCCUACGUCUUUUCCUAAACACUUUUCCUUGACCUCGAUGGAAAACGUCAUGAGGUCAAGGAAAAAUGUGAUGGAGAAUUCAUACAGACUUAGGAAAACACAACCACGGUGCAAAAAUAAUCCGAGUGCACUUACAAUAGGCUUUUUAUUUAUGACACAUGCAAGAUAAGUACAGUGACAAACCCAGUGCUGUAGAAUUCAAGUAAGGUCCAAAACAGAAUCACAUCUCCUAAACAAUGUUUUCAAUUUAUACACAGGGUACAUUUAAUCAUUUAUUACUCAUGGGAAGUAACAACAAAAUAGAUAUUGUUGAAAAUAAAAACAAAAACAAAACAAACAGGAUUGAAAUGUUGAAAUAAUUUAAUAGCAUAAAAGGAAUAUACAAGUAGAAAAAGUUGAGCCAUUAAAUUAAUAAUUAAAUAAAAAUAAGGAAUUGAGCAAGGGGCCAGAGUAAAUUACAUUAAGACAUAAAUAUAUAGAGUUUCCUGGCAUGGGCACUUUUGACCUUUUUUAUACAUUUGUUUCUAUAGAGAAAAUGUAUUUUUUUGUGCAUUCGACAAUGGGGGGUGGGGUUAGCGAAAUAUACAUUUAUGUAUAUAGUAUUUAGCUAUGAUGAUGAUAUUGUUAACUAGAAAUUCAAUACAGUGUUAAAUUUGGCAGCUAUUUUAGAUUUAGUCUUAGUGUUUAGACAGAAAUGCUUAUUAGUUUUAGUCACAUUUUAGUCAUUUUUAUUCUUCAUAGUUUUGGUCUAGUUUUAGUCGACGACUACUCAAAAUGUUUUAGUCGACGAAAAGUCAUUACAUUUUAGUCAAGUUUUAGUCAAAGUGUUUUCUCUCUUUAAACUAAACUAAUUCAUUACCAAUAAAAUCACACUAGUGCUGAAACAAUUAGUCGAUUAAUAUGCCUACCUGGCCUUAGAUCUAAGAAAUCAUACACAAAUAUCUUCCAAAUAAAUUGCUGUGUAAUCUUAAAAAACAACAGUUUGACCAGAUAUUAAUUGCAAUGCAUGUUCAGGGCUGCCAUUUAGCUUUUUCUGGUAAGGACUGGAGUAAGGACAUGUAAGUGAAAACGGAUGGAGUGUAAUUACAAGUUGCUUGUCCAAAUAUAUAAAUAAAUAAACUCGCAGGCUAUAAAUGUUACAGCAGGAACACGUGAUGCGCACUGACAUAUUGUAGAGCAGGUCUAAAAAGCCAACACGGUUGUUCCCCAUGUGUUUCACUCGAACGAUAGGACAAUAUAUGAUAAAGCAUUUCACUUGUCCGACCAAAAAGUUUACUUGUCAAGUUAUAACAUUAAUUGUCAAGUCCUGCAUGUUUCACUCACAAGUUUUGAAGCGAGCGAACUGAUGUUAGCUAACACAUUAACCCAGUCAACUUUAGUCUGGAAGCCAGGUUUAUUCAUUCAUUUAUUACCACAAACUGAAAACUUUUUUGUGAGAAAAACUGACUUCCAGCCAGGCCAGUGUGGCUUGCUAGCAAAUUUGCCGCAAGUUGACAUCCAACUGCCCAGUAACAAUGACUUAACAUUAGCAAGCAUUAGCAUGUAUAUGCUUAGUUAACAUUGGGACAGUUUGGGACUUCAAGUGUCUCCUCAGGUUGGUUGUAUUCUUCCCACCUAAUUUGUAGCCACAGGGAGACUCUCCAUCUCCAGUAUGUCCAUAGAUCUAUUAUUUUAUUUUCCAAUGUUGUUGUUAUUAACUCACUGUCGGUUUGGGACAGCAUCACACGUGACAUCAACCUGCACCACACGUCAAUCAAUGAUAGGGAUGCAUUGUUUAUAUUUUGACAGACAGACUAGACACACAAUUGGGGGAAAAUAUCAUGCAUUUUGUAAAUGUCCAAUAGCCCACCACUAACAUUUUAGUCCUGUCUUGUCAACGAAAACGCCUCGUCUUCAUCAUAGGGAAAAAAGGUCGGUGACGAAUAUUUUUUGUCAUAGUUUUUGUUUACGAAAUUAACACUGAUUCAGUAUGCUUGUUCUUCAAGAUUACUCCUAACUGGAUAGAUUUGAAAGAGAAGAAAUCUAUUUUAUGGAUUUGGACCUCAGCCAGUCAUACAAGGAUUUCCAUAAAUUUUGGAUCGUGUCACAAACAUAAAAUAUGUGCUCUGUUGUUUCUACAUUUAUGUGUGGUUUGCUGUGGUGAAACUACACCACAGCAAUGGUGCAUCACUUUAAAUGUUGCUGCCCCAAGGAAUUGUGGGAUGGCAUUAUCUCCUUUCCUUUCGUAAAGGUUGGUCCAGUGUACCCUAUGCUAAAGGAGUUAAGAAAGAAAGCAUUGAAGCACCUUUCCUUAGCAUUUAGAGUAUUCGACUAGCUCUUAUCAUGGCUGCCACUUAGAUACUUCCGGAUCAUUUCACUCAGUUAGGAACCUUCCUAAGCAAAAAAGACUAUUUGACUGCAGCCACAGUCUGUCCUUCAGUCUGAGCUUGACUGUAACGACUUGACUGAAUGCCACAGAGUUCCUGCCAGUUAUAGUGUUAGUGUAUAGAGUGUUUUGCUGUAUUAUUGGUUCCUGCCUGCUACUGACCAAAGUAAAAGGUUUGAAGAGA